GAUGAACGCUGGCGGCGUGCCUAAUACAUGCAAGUCGAGCGAAUGGAUUAAGAGCUUGCUCUUAUGAAGUUAGCGGCGGACGGGUGAGUAACACGUGGGUAACCUGCCCAUAAGACUGGGAUAACUCCGGGAAACCGGGGCUAAUACCGGAUAACAUUUUGAACCGCAUGGUUCGAAAUUGAAAGGCGGCUCCGGCUAUCACUUAUGGAUGGACCCGCGGCGCAUUAGCUAGUUGGUGAGGUAACGGCUCACCAAGGCAACGAUGCUGAGCCGACCUGAGAGGGUGAUCGGCCACACUGGGACUGAGACACGGCCCAGACUCCUACGGGAGGCAGCAGUAGGGAAUCUUCCGCAAUGGACGAAAGUCUGACGGAGCAACGCCGCGUGAGUGAUGAAGGCUUUCGGGUCGUAAAACUCUGUUGUUAGGGAAGAACAAGUGCUAGUUGAAUAAGCUGGCACCUUGACGGUACCUAACCAGAAAGCCACGGCUAACUACGUGCCAGCAGCCGCGGUAA
rnacentral:rRNA from 1 species